rnacentral:rRNA from 1 species
GGAUUAGGCAUGCAAGUCGCACGAGAAAGGUUUCUUCGGAAGCCGAGUACAGUGGCGAACGGGUGAGUAAUGCAUAGACAACACGCCCUUGAGAUGGGGACAACGCAUCGAAAGGGGUGCUAAUACCCAAUGCCGCCUUGGGCCUGCGGGUCCAGGGUGAAAGGAGGCCUCUGAUUCAAGCUUCCGCUCAAGGAGAGGUUUAUGUCCUAUUAGCUAGUUGGCGGGGUAACGGCCCACCAAGGCUGCGAUGGGUAGCCGACCUGAGAGGGUGACCGGCCACAUUGGGACUGAGACACUGCCCAGACUCCUACGGGAGGCUGCAGUCGAGAAUCUUCCGCAAUGCGCGCAAGCGUGACGGAGCGACGCCGCGUGGGUGAUGAAGGCCUUCGGGUUGUAAAACCCUGUCAGCUACUACGAAACACGGGCGAUGAACAAUCGUCCCGUCUGACUUAAGUAGCAGAGGAAGCACCGGCUAACUACGUGCCAGCAGCCGCGGUAAUACGUAGGGUGCAAACGUUGUUCGGAAUCACUGGGCAUAAAGGGCGCGUAGGCGGUCUGAUAAGUCAGGUGUGAAAUCCCUCGGCCUAACCGAGGAACUGCAUUUGAUACUGUCGGGCUAGAGUACAGGAGGGGGAGAGUGGAAUUCCUGGUGGAGCGGUGAAAUGCGUAGAUAUCAGGAGGAACGCCGGCGGCGAAAGCGACUCUCUGGCCUGUUACUGACGCUGAGGCGCGAAAGCUAGGGGAGCAAACGGGAUUAGAUACCCCGGUAGUCCUAGCCCUAAACGAUGGGCACUAAGUAGAGGGGUUUU